rnacentral:rRNA from 1 species
GACGAACGCUGGCGGCGUGCUUAACACAUGCAAGUCGAACGGAAAGGCCCUGCUUUUGUGGGGUGCUCGAGUGGCGAACGGGUGAGUAACACGUGAGUAACCUGCCCUUGACUUUGGGAUAACUUCAGGAAACUGGGGCUAAUACCGGAUAGGAGCUCCUGCUGCAUGGUGGGGGUUGGAAAGUUUCGGCGGUUGGGGAUGGACUCGCGGCUUAUCAGCUUGUUGGUGGGGUAGUGGUUUACCAAGGCUUUGACGGGUAGCCGGCCUGAGAGGGUGACCGGCCACAUGGGGACUGAGAGACGGCCCAGACUCGUACGGGAGGCAGCAGUGGGGAAUAUUGCACAAUGGGCGGAAGCCUGAUGCAGCAACGCCGCGUGCGGGAUGACGGCCUUCGGGGUGUAAACCGCUUUCGCCUGUGACGAAGCGGGAGUGACGGUAAUGGGUAAAGAAGCACCGGCUAACUACGUG